rnacentral:lncRNA from 1 species
AUGACCAUUGUGCUCCUCAGAUCAAGCUAAAGAUUUUUAUCAAAAAUAUAUCUACUACUCCUCAGACCCAGUCUAAAUGUCUGAUUGAGACCUAACCUACACUACUUCUCCCUCCCGGGCUCUGAUACCAUGAGGCCGGUCAGAACCCAAUACAAGGGUUUUUGAAAGAUGGAAGGGGUUACAAGAUAGAAGAGAUUUUUGGUAGAACACUCCUUCACUGGCUCUAAUACCAUGAGAUCGGGAUCAAGAUCUGGGGGAGCCCUCUAGUUAAAGGAGGAAUCAUAGUAAUCUAUCCUAGGGUAAAUAUUCUGGAACCUAUGAACAGAAUCUUGCUCACUCUAAGAUACCAGAGAAUGAGGCCUGUCAAGAUACUGCUAACAGAUCAUAGAUUAACCAUGAU